ACCCGCCACCUGCCUCGCUGGCGGCGGCGUGCAGGUCGCGGCGGGGGAAGGCAAGAGUAAGAGAGGGACACACCUCCGCAACGGAGGCCCAGGACCCAGGGCACUGAGAUGUGGGAGGAGUGCAGGACCGGGUCUCCGACGGGCCCCGAAACUUGGGACUUCCCCCAGGACCGUUCCCUGGGUCGCUGCCGCCGCAGACACACAAACAUGAAGAAAAAAUGUCAAGGGAUAGUCCCAGGAUAGGCAGUCAAGUCAACAAGGAACAGCUAGCAGCACCACUCCAAAGUGACCAACAAGAAUAAAAGCUAGACCCUGCACCUAAAAAGGAAGGACAUCAAAAGUGCCGGAUCAUACGUAAAUUCUGAGAAGAGGUACUAGAGAAAAAGUGGCAUAAAAUGAUGGAGGAUGUCCUGUGGAGAGGGGAAGACACCAAGCACCUGCAGUGAUGUGGAUAAAGAAAUGGAGUGGAGGCUCCAGGUAGCAACUUUCACUUGCUCCAUGAAGCCAAGGGACACACUCACAUUCUUCUUAGAUCAUAGAGAGAAGUGGGACAUCUACUUCCUCAAGGGAUUCUCAGAGGAAGUCCCAGAGACCCCAGAAAAUUUCUCAGAAACCCUAGAGAAAUUUAUGAACUCAACCAAUCUCUUCCUGAUAUUCCUGCAUUUCCAAGGGCAGCUGUUGAAUCGUAAAGCUUCCCUUUGUAAGAGUCAGACCAUGCUCAAAGAUUGGAAAAUUCAGUAUUGUGAAAAUGUCAGUCCCUCCCAAGAGAGCCCAGAAACAGGCUCACACUGUCACUUGACAUUAAAAAAAAAACAAUAAUGUGGGAGGUGGGGAAUCCUGAGGUACUAAUAAUGUAUUCUUUCUUGAUCUAGAUGCUGGUUAUGUGAGUGUGUUGAGCUUGUGAAAAUUUAAUAAGCUGUAUAUUGUAAGUACACUUCAUGUUUGCAUGUUAUACUUCAAUUAAAGGUUUAUUUUCAAUCCCUUUAUAA